GCAGACUCACUCUGUUCUUUGCUGUUCACUCCGGCCUAGAACUUUUUUCUGACUGCUAGAUAACCGCGCAGAACGUAGUACUCUACCUGCUUUCUGAUAAGCUGGUGUCAGUACGUUCUGCUACAUUACU